rnacentral:rRNA from 1 species
GACGAACGCUGGCGGCGUGCUUAACACAUGCAAGUCGAACGAAGAGCGAUGGAAGCUUGCUUCUAUCAAUCUUAGUGGCGAACGGGUGAGUAACGCGUAAUCAACCUGCCCUUCAGAGGGGGACAACAGUUGGAAACGACUGCUAAUACCGCAUACGAUCUAAUCUCGGCAUCGAGGAUAGAUGAAAGGUGGCCUCUACAUGUAAGCUAUCACUGAAGGAGGGGAUUGCGUCUGAUUAGCUAGUUGGAGGGGUAACGGCCCACCAAGGCGAUGAUCAGUAGCCGGUCUGAGAGGAUGAACGGCCACAUUGGGACUGAGACACGGCCCAGACUCCUACGGGAGGCAGCAGUGGGGAAUCUUCCGCAAUGGACGAAAGUCUGACGGAGCAACGCCGCGUGAGUGAUGACGGCCUCCGGGUUGUAAAGCUCUGUUAAUCGGGACGAAAGGCCUUCUUGCGAAUAGUGAGAAGGAUUGACGGUACCGGAAUAGAAAGCCACGGCUAACUACGUG